GACUGCUCCGGUGGCCUAAUGGCUAGAGCGUCCGCCUCAAAUGCAGGAAUUCGUGGGUUUUAUCCCCAGCCGAGUCA